rnacentral:rRNA from 1 species
CCUGAGAAACCCAAAAGAUCGAAUGGGGAGAUUCAUCGUCAGCUAAUUUUGUAUAUGUAUAAGUUAUGAUGCGGGUUACUACUUGUAGUAUUGCCUGCACAUUCUUGUAUAUUUUGUUGCAAGAUUUUGUCGGCGUGCACUUCUCCCCUAGUAGGACGUCGCGACCUGUUGGGUGUCGGUCUACGGCCCAAGUGAUAGCCUUUAAUGUAAUUUAAAAAGCAUUGAAGAUCCUUGGUGUUUUCUGACCGGCUACUUGGCAGUACUCGUACGGUAUUUAGCCGCUAAAUUUAUUAAGCGUCCAUAUCUGUCGCAAGCGAGGCUAAUUUUUACUGAUAGUGCGGACCUAGUGCCGUCGUUGGUAUUGGCCAGCUGUUGGUUGUACAGUAUUCUAGGACUGGCUAAAAUUAAUUACCGGUCGGCGAUGCUACUGCUUUGGGUACUUUCAG